rnacentral:rRNA from 1 species
ACCAGACUCCUACGGGAGGCAGCAGUGGGGGAUAUUGCACAAUGGGGGAAACCCUGAUGCGGCGACGCCGCGUGGGCGAAGAAGUAUUUCGGUAUGUAAAGCCCUCUCAGCAGGGAAGAAGAAAUGACGGUACCUGAGUAAGAAGCACCGGCUAAAUACGUGCCAGCAGCCGCGGUAAUACGUAGGGGGCAAGCGUUAUCCGGAUUUACUGGGUGUAAAGGGGGCGCAGACGGCGAUGCAAGCCAGGAGUGAAAGCCCGGGGCCCAACCCCGGGACUGCUCUUGGAACUGCGUGGCUGGAGUGCAGGAGGGGCAGGCGGAAUUCCUGGUGUAGCGGUGAAAUGCGUAGAUAUCAGGAGGAACACCGGUGGCGAAGGCGGCCUGCUGGACUGCAACUGACGUUGAGGCCCGAAAGCGUGGGGAGCAAACAGGAUUAGAUACCCUUGUAC